UACGUAGGGUGCAAGCGUUGUCCGGAAUUAUUGGGCGUAAAGGGCUCGUAGGCGGUUUGUCGCGUCUGCUGUGAAAUCUGGGGGCUCAACCCCCAGCCUGCAGUGGGUACGGGCAGACUAGAGUGCGGUAGGGGAGAUUGGAAUUCCUGGUGUAGCGGUGGAAUGCGCAGAUAUCAGGAGGAACACCGAUGACGAAGGCAGAUCUCUGGGCCGUAACUGACGCUGAGGAGCGAAAGCAUGGGGAGCGAACAGG
rnacentral:rRNA from 1 species